CACAGAUACAGAGGUUGCCUAGCAACAUGUAAGGACAAAGCUCAAUUCGCAAGUUACAGCCGAGUGAAUGAGCCCUGUGAUGGGUCGAGGUGAUGGAUAAUGUGCUUCACUGACUUGCUCCUACUGACAAAGCUGGGUAAACCGUCCCAGCCCUACUUUGGCUAAGACUUUGCAAGUCUCGCAUUCCUGUUGUUCUCCGGGAGCCAGCAAAGUAUGUGUUGGCAUUAUCUGAUCUGACUUCAUCCAAAGGAGAGAGUAAAUAGAAAACAAAGCAGAAUUAAGAAUAAAGCACGAAACCAGUUUCCAUCAUCUAUCUUCAAUCACAGUCUGGUCCAGUGAAAUAUUUAAAAAGAGAAAAUUCAAGAACAUACAGAUAACAUGUAUUAAAGUAUACCAUCAC
rnacentral:lncRNA from 1 species